GUUAUUUUGGCAGAGAUAAAUGUGUUGGAUUUAGGAUCCUAUAAGAUAGAGUAGUCUAUA
rnacentral:tRNA from 1 species